UCACCAGUGAACCCUUAGAGAUUGAGAUAAAGCUCUCUAUCCAGGAACCGAUAGAGUCUGGUAAUGAAAUCUUUCUCUUUAAUGCUUACAUCUUACAUGUUUGCUUUCUCAAAUGCUCAUUUUCCUAAUUUCCUGCUUUAUGCAUUUGCCUGUCUCAUUCUAGCGAGCUUUGUAUCCGGCGAGGUGACCUUGCAGCGGCCUGGCGGAGAGCUCUGAAGUGUUCCUCGUUAGAUGAGAGUGCUGUCUGUCUCUUUGUGUUUUCGGUUGAAAAUGAUGCCAUUACGCCUGUUCGCCACCUCUCUCUGUCACCCUAACGAAGCUUGGGCCGCUGCGUCGCUCACGCUGGCACGACAGGUGUGCGGCUGCUGCUCGCGUCGGCAGUGACUGAAGACUCUCGCCUCGCUGCGGGUCCCGUAUCUUUCUUCAGACUCAGCGUGCGAACUGCUUUUUUUUAUGGGCCCAUGUGUCAUAUUCUCCUCUAAACAAGGUAAGAAUGUAGAUAAGUUAUGUAGGGAUUUUUUUUUUUUUUUUUUUUUGUUUACUACAUGGAUUUAGGCAUGUUGUCCAAGUCAAUACUUGGAGGCUUGUCAUGUCAUUAAACUUCAUCCGAAGUGUUGUUACUUUGUGCACGGUGCACUUCAGGUAAGUGAAAGUGAGUUUAGUAGACUUUAAAGCAUGACGAAUUUCAAAAGAAAUUGAAGACCUUGUUGAAGGACUCUGUCUGUCUGCUAACUUUCUAAUCCAAUUUACUGUGACGUUUGUGAUUCCAGCUCUGUGUUGUGCUGUAAGUGUAUUAAAACGCUGCCGUCUGACUGCAGGUACUUCAUGAUUAGACUACGGUGAAUAAGAUUGAAGUCGAAAAUAAAACACAGUCCCGGCGGAACCGAUCGUGUGCUGAGGCAGAAGACUGAUUUAAAAAAUGAGAGGAAAAAAAAUAUUUACUGCAUUUGCGUCUGGCGAUCUGAGAAAUAUGCUGGAUGGCCCUGGUUUAAAUUCAAUUCUUCAACACAAGCCGUUUAUUAAGGAGCGAGGGCAGGCUGAGAGUGGAGACUGAGGCGGGCAGAUGGUGGAAUGGAUCAGGAGGAGACGUCCUCUAACCCGGGAUUGAGUCCAGAGAUCAUAGACCGUCCCAUCACGGCCCAAUGGAGCUGGACCACAACACUCUGUGUAUGUAACUAAGACUUUAUAGGUGGGGUAAAAUCUUAUGUUUGCCUUUCAUGAUUGGAUAAAAUUAACCAGAUGGAUGAAAUCAAGUCUUGCCCUUUAUCUUCAUUACGAAAGAGUUCCUAAGACGUGUGUGUAAGUGUGAAGAUGUGUGCGAGAGCUCCAGCUGUGAGAUGUAAGCUGUGCUGGGGUCUGUAGCCGCCCCCCGCCUGCCCUCCCGUGCUCGGCACUCCCGCCGAGACAACCAUCCAAAAGCUGCGAGCGAUAAUGGGAGAUUUGACUGGCCACGCACACCGUGUUCCCAUUAUAUGAAAUCUGUUUUUAUUCUUUUAUUUCAGAAACUCCUCUCUCUGUCUCUCUCUUACCCUCCUCAUCCUUGUUUUCUUUUCUCAAAUCUCAUUUAUCUGGGCGUCUCCUCCCCCGUUUCAUUUUCUCUCUUGGAAAGUGUAAUUAUGAAUAUUUGUCCUUACAUGGGCGGGAAUAAUUUUCUCAUUAUGAACUCUAAAUAAAAUCUUUGUGUGUUUAUGUGUGUGUCUCGAUACACACUUGCAUAACAUAGCGUACUGCAAAUAUUUGCAGCUUUCAUUUGGGCUAAGUGAUAGACAAUAAGAUUUUGAAUCGAAAUGUAUCAGUGCAUAUUAAAUUACCCAUAAAUAUAUUAUUUCUGAAGACAAAGAGCUUGUGUUUC